rfam:Aedes aegypti strain Liverpool supercont1.167 genomic scaffold, whole genome shotgun sequence.
CGUUCUGUGGCGUAGUUGGUUAACGCGCCCAGUCUAGCGUAUUGGGAGUCGUGGGAUCAAAGCCCACCAGAACGA